UACGUCGAAGAGAACUAUUGGAGCCUA
rnacentral:sRNA from 1 species